rnacentral:lncRNA from 1 species
CCAUCUGUGUGUGUUUUUUGGUGAGGUCUUUGGUUCAUUUUAAAAUGUAAUUGUUUAUUUUCUUAUUGUUGAGUUUUACAUAUUCUUUGUGUAUUUGGAUAAUAAAAUUUUACCAGAUAUGUCUUUUGCAAGUAUUUUUUUCCCAGUUUGUGGCUUAUCAUUUUAUUCUCUCUUGUUUUAUUUUCCCUUACUUUGAAAAGUAUGUUUCAGCAUGCCCCAGACUACCAAAGUCCUACAAAUUUCAUUGAUCCUAUGGACUCCUAAAUUGUCUUAGGGUUUAUUUCCUACCCUCCAAAAGUACCUGUGUCUUACAGAAAUCUUCAAUAUACUUGCCACUUCCUGCUCAUCCACUCUAAUUAACUUGAUAUCAAUAUAUCAAGUUUAAUAUGUGACCAUGGAAAUCUUUUGAAGACUAUUCAGAUGCUCCAGGUCCCUUCAGACUGUAAUUUAAUAGAGGCUAAGAGGAUUAAUUAUAGUCCUAGGGAAGGAUGGUAAAUGUUACUCUUCUUUGUCCAACAUAAAUCCAUAUUAUGAUCCUGCUUCUUGAGAAAAGUAGAACCAGAUGCACUUACCAGGUCAUUGACCAGAUACUAUGAAAUGGAGAACUUGUUAAUUUUUGCUCCAGCAAAGAUACCACAUCAGGUACAGUAGCUUCAAUUGGUUUUCCUAUUUGGUUGAGUUUAUGGUAAUCUACUAUCCUCUUUCUUUAUCUUUUUAGCUUUUGUAAGGUCCAAGUUAGUACAUCAAAUGGAUAUAUAUUCAAAACUACCAUCUCUGCAUUUUUCAGGUCUUAGUAGAUGAUGGUAAUCUCUAGUAUUCCACCUCAAACACAAUAUCAUCUAUGACAUAUUCCCUUGGCCAGAGGUGGGUUGGGUGGUGAUUGGAGCUUUCAUUUAACUUUUCUCACUGUGAUGGUUCUUAACACAUAGGUAAAGGGGCCAGAGUUGGGGUUCUGAGUAUGUUCCUCUUAAUUUUACAUUUUGGAACUAGGGAACUGAACCUUGAGUCUGUGGAACUAGUAGAGCUUCUGUGAGUUGGAUCUGGGCCAGAACUCUAAUAUAUUAUUUGGAUACAAAUUCUUCUACUCUAACAGAGGGUCAGUGAUGAUUAUUCAGAUUCUCUAAAUCUCCAAAUAUCAAUGUCAAAGAAAAAAUGUGUCCAAUUGUCCUCAAAAUGACUAGGUGGUUCCUUUACCCCUGUGUGAAGUUAUCUGAGUAAAUGGUUUAGGAUCCUUUGGGGAAGGACAGAAGGAAUCAUUACUGGGUAUCAAAGUUGACAUUAUGGUAGACACGGUGAAAUGUCAUCCAUAUCUUCUUCAACAAGGGACUUGUUGCCCCAGUUGCUGAGAGUCUCCUCAGGAAUAGCCUUAGUUGCAGAACGCCAUUUACCAAAAGUCAUGCCCUAUCUCUGGACAGUCUACUUCCAGUGACUCAUCUGUGAGAUAGUAUAAAGACUCCACCAUAUUAGCUCAACUUAAGACAACUUUGAUGACUAUUCUAGCUCCAGACCUCCCCGAAGAGUUGACAAAAUCUGUGGCUGGGCCGUUGUAACACUUGACUUUUACUUCUGGCAUUUUUCUUUCUUUCCUCUCAUUUCCACAGGUUUAGACUCUUAUUAUCCUUAAACACACUGUACAUAAAAUUCCAUCUUAAUUCACCUUAAUGUCUGUUUUCCAAGGAACCUAACCUAUAAUGAUUUAAAUUUUAUGUCCAACAGUCUUUGAAAUAUAUGAGUAUAUCCCUUACCCUAAUAUGGUUACAUGCCCUUUGGAAUAAGUCUGGGGAAAUAAUUGCUGUAUACAUAUAUUGGGGUUGAACAGGGUCCUUCCUCCUGGGGACAAAGCUCGUAUUUCAUUCAGUGGAUCUGGGUCUGAAAACUGCUCAGUUCUAGAUAUUGGGAAAGGAUUAUGAAUUUUUAAUGGGAUUGCUUCCCUUAGCCUUCUGACCUACACUUGAAAUCUUGUGUUUGUACAAAUUGAACAAACAUUUAUUGGACAUCCUAGGUUUCUUUGGUCCUAUUAAGCAUCUCCAUAGCAAUCUGUGGAUCAGGCCUCCAUGGCUGACACUACAACCUUAUCACUCAUUAGGAUCAUUGCACACACCUGGCUUCUGCAGCAAAGUGUACUGCUUGGCCUUUAUUUAUUUUUAUUUUUAUUUUUUUGUCUUUUUGCUUUUUCUAGGGCUGCUCCCGCGGCAUAUGGAGGUUCUCAGGCUAGGGGUCCAGUCGGAGCUGUAGCUGCCAGCCUACACCAGAGCCACAGCAACUUGGGAUCCGAGCCGUGUCUGCAACCUACACCACAGCUCACAGCAACGCCGGAUCCUUAACCCACUGAGCAAGGCCAGGGAUCGAACCCGCAACCUCAUGGUUCCUAGUCAGAUCCGUUAACCACUGAGCCACAACGGGAACUCCUUGGCCUUUAUUAUUCUGAGAAUCUAUCAAUCCACUUGAGCCAGGUUUUAUAAAAGCAGUUCAUACUGUUAGCUUUACACUACAAAGGAAAACCAUGAUUGAGCUUCUUGGUGAUACUAGUGCCCAUCUUACAGGGCAUUCCUUAUUAUUUUUGUAAACAGUAUCGUCUGGUCUGAAGCAGGGAAAAUGUUCAUCUGACUGCAUAAGGAGCCUCUUUCUGUCCUUCCGGGAAAAUCCUCUUUCACUGUUAGCCUUAAUUGAUUAUUAAUCACUCUCAGUCUUUUAUUGCCUUUUCCCAGUGCAUUGAUAACCCCCAGCAGUAGUUCUCCAAGUUCAAUUUUCUUAUAGCUACUAUUGUUUCUAGCACUUCUUAAAUACCUGAAGCAUUGCAGGCCUCACUCCUUUUCUUUAUACUUGUAUCAAUUCCCAAUGCACUGUUAGUGAAAACUUUAAUCGUUAUACCAAUACUGCAUGCCAGGGAUGGUCUCAGUGCUCCAUCUGAGUGUUGAGAUCCUUAUAAAACCCUGGAAAUUGGUCAUUGACAUCAAAUCCUACUUUGGUAUUUUCUUCCUACUACUUUUUGGGACCAAUUUUUGCAGGUCAGUUUCCUGAGGAAACAGACUCUGAGAACUUUUUAAACCUCCACUUGUACUUUUGACAUUUUCCCCAAGGGCUAUGAAGAGUUACUUUUUUAAGACUGACUGACUAAUAGAAAUACUUUAUAACAUUUUUAUGGAGGAAUUAAUACCUACCUCAGACUACUAUAGGUCUAGACCUUUUCUCAGUUUGGUGGUUUAUUUUAUCACUGUUAUGUUGGCAUAUGUGUCUUAAUAGAGUCACAUCAAUCCAGUUGGGUGUCAGGACUAUUUGAAUGUACAGGGUUAGGUCUCAAGAUCCUAUGGUUUUUGAUAGUGCUGUUGGGGCUGGUGAGGAAUAAAAAUGACAGUGUAUUUAACAAGGGUCCAGAGGUCAAAGGACAAGGCAGUACUAGGAAAUUAUUAGAAGGGCCUAAAACACAGAGCAGUACUAAGACAUAAGUUGACCCUAUAGCAAUGGCUUCUGAAUUUCUUUUUUAUGACCUUUUCACUUGCUUUUAAUUUAUUUUGGACACUUAUUCUUCAUAUGUGACUUGCUUACCAUUUUUCCUUUGCACCUAGAAGGCUCGACCACUUAUCCUCAUGCAGGUAAAAAAAAGCCAUCUCAGUCAUCUACAUUUGGAAAAUUGUGCUGUAACUAUUUCUUUUCCAACUGGUUAGCAAACAUUUGGUCUAUGCAAAAUAUCCAUAGGAUUUUUCAUUCAUGCCAAAAGGUUCUUGAAAUACAGUGCUGUCCAAAAUGUCCAUAAGCACAUUUAGUCCAGGUAAAAUGGUGUUGGAUAAAACUGAGUAUUAAUAUUAACUCUUCCAAUCCAGGAGCAUGAUAUGUCUUUCCAUCUAUUUGUGUCGUCUUUGAUUUCUUUCAUCAGUGUCUUAUAGUUUUCAGAGUACAGGUCUUUUACUACCCAAGGCAAUCUACAGAUUCAAUGCAAUCCCUAAUCAAAUUACCAAGGACAUUUUUCACAGAACUCGAACAAAGUAUUUUAAAAUUUGUUUGGAAGCACAAAACACCCAGAAUAGCCAAAGGUAUCCUGAAAAAGAAAAACAAAGCUGGAGGAAUCAGGCUCCUUGACUUCAGACUAUGCUACAAAGCAGCAGUCAUCAAAACCAUAUGGUACUGACACAAAGACAGAAAUAUAGAUCAGUGGAAAAGAAUAGAAAGCCCAGAAUUAAAUGCACACACCUACUGUCAACUAAUCUAUGACAAAGGAGGAAAGAAUAUACAAUGGAGAAAAGACAGCCUGUUUAAUAAGUGGUGCUGGGAAAACUGGACAACCACAUGUAUUUGUUGACCUAGAAACAUCUAUNGACAACAGCAACAUCUUCUCAAUCCACCUCUUAGAGUAAUGACAAUAAAAACGAAAAUAAACAAGUGGGACCUAAUCAAACCUUAAAAGUUUCUGCACAGCAAAGGAAACCCUAAACAAAAUGAAAAGACAACCCACAGAAUGGGAGAAAAAUCUUUGCAAAUGAAGCAACUGACAAGGGAUUCAUCUCUAAAAUUUAUAAACACCUUCUGUAGCUCAAUACCAAAAAGACAAACAACCCCAUCAAAAAAUGGGCAUAAGACCUAAACAGACAAUUCUCCAAAGAAGACAUACAGAUGGCCAAGAAACACAUGAAAAAAAUGUUCAACAUCACUCAUCAUUAGAAAAAUGCAAAUCAUGCGGUACCACCUUACAUCCGCCAGAAGGGCCAUCAUCCAAAAGUCUACAAACAGUAAGUGCUGGAGAGGGUGUGGAGAAAAAGCAACCCUGUUACACUGAUGGUGGGAUUAUAAAUUGGUGCAACCACUGUGGAAAACAAUAUGGAGAUUCCUCAGAAAACUAAAAAUAGAACUGCCAUUUGAUCCAGCAAUCCCAGUCCUGGGCAUCUAUCCAGAGAAAACCAUGACUCGCGAAGACGCAUGUACUCCAAUGUUCAUUGCAACACUGUUUUCAAUAGCCAAGUCAUGGAAACAACCUAAAUGUCCAUCGACAGAGGAGUGGCUAAAGAAGAUGUGGUACAUAUACACUAUGGAAUAUUACUCAGCCAUUAAAAGGAACAAAAUAACGGCAUUUUUAGCAUCAUGAUGGACCUAGAAAUUAUCAUGCUAAAUGAAGUCAGCCAUACAAUGAGACACCAUCAUCAAAUGCUUUCACUGACAUGUGGAAUCUGAAAAAAGGACAGAAUGAACUUCUUUGCAGAACAGAUACUGACUCACAGACUUUGAAAAACUUAUGGUUUCCAAAUGAGACAGUUCGUGGGGUGGGGUGAUGCACUGGGGUUGUGGGAUGGAAAUUCUAUAAAAUUGGAUUGUGAUGAUCAUUGUACAACUAUAAAUGUAAUAAAUUCAUUGAGUAAUAAAAAAUUAAAAAAUAAAUAAAUUGCAUUUACAUUAUAGAAAAAAACCCUAACAAACAAACAAAAAACCUGAAUAUUAAGGGCCUUUUGGCAUAGAUCAAAUAUUUUAUGGAUGUUUUGAACAAGACCACAUGUCCUGCAAAGCUCCAUCCACUAAUCUCUAAUCACCCUGUUUCCUUAUUCACCAUUUAUCUUGUCCUCAUCAUUUUGGUGAUGUCGUUUCAGACAGUUCACUCUGGUCCAGAUAUGGCUUCCUCUUAAAACACAAAUGCUGGUUUGCUCUUCACUAAAGCAUCUUUAGGAGAUGUCCUAACUGCUGG